AGCGAACGCUGGCGGUAGGCCUAACACAUGCAAGUCGAACGAACUCUUCGGAGUUAGUGGCGGACGGGUGAGUAACACGUGGGAACGUGCCUUUAGGUUCGGAAUAACUCAGGGAAACUUGUGCUAAUACCGAAUGUGCCCUUCGGGGGAAAGAUUUAUCGCCUUUAGAGCGGCCCGCGUCUGAUUAGCUAGUUGGUGAGGUAAAGGCUCACCAAGGCGACGACCAGUAGCUGGUCUGAGAGGAUGAUCAGCCACAUUGGGACUGAGACACGGCCCAAACUCCUACGGGAGGCAGCAGUGGGGAAUCUUGCGCAAUGGGCGAAAGCCUGACGCAGCCAUGCCGCGUGAAUGAUGAAGGUCUUAGGAUUGUAAAAUUCUUUCACCGGGGACGAUAAUGACGGUACCCGGAGAAGAAGCCCCGGCUAACUUCGUGCCAGCCGCCGCAGUAA
rnacentral:rRNA from 1 species